UACGGAGGGUGCAAGCGUUAUCCGGAUUCACUGGGUUUAAAGGGUGCGUAGGUGGGUUGGUAAGUCAGUGGUGAAAUCCCCGAGCUUAACUUGGGAACUGCCAUUGAUACUAUCAGUCUUGAAUACUGUGGAGGUCAGCAGAAUAUGUCAUGUAGCGGUGAAAUGCUUAGAUAUGAUAUAGAAUACCAAUUGCGAAGGCAGCUGGCUACACAAAUAUUGACACUGAGGCACGAAAGCGUGGGGAUCAAACAGG
rnacentral:rRNA from 1 species